GUGCCAGCCGCCGCGGUAAUACAGAGGGGGCAAGCGUUAUUCGGAAUUAUUGGGCGUAAAGGGCGCGUAGGCGGUGCUUUAAGUGAGAUGUGCAAUCCCCGGGCUUAACCUGGGAACUGCAUCUCAGACUGGAGCGCUAGAGUACUGGAGAGGGUGGUAGAAUUCCACGUGUAGCGGUGAAAUGCGUAGAGAUGUGGAGGAAUACCAGUGGCGAAGGCGGCCACCUGGACAGUAACUGACGCUGAGGCGCGAAAGUGUGGGUAGCAAACAGGAUUAGAUACCCCGGUAGUCC
rnacentral:rRNA from 1 species